rnacentral:tRNA from 2 species
GCGGAUGUAGCUCAGUGGUAGAGCAUCUCGUUGCCAACGAGACGGUCGGGCGUUCGAAUCGCCUCAUCCGCU